ACAACCUCAAUUUAAGUGAGAUUACCCGCUGAACUUAAGCAUAUCAUUUAGCGGAGGA
rnacentral:rRNA from 1 species